GGAGGAUUAGCUCAGCGGGAGAGCGCUUGCCUUACAAGCAAGAUGUCACAAGUUCAAUCCUUGUAUCCUCCA
rnacentral:tRNA from 3 species